rnacentral:rRNA from 1 species
GAUGAACGCUGGCGGCGUGCCUAAUACAUGCAAGUCGAGCGAACAGAUAAGGAGCUUGCUCCUUUGACGUUAGCGGCGGACGGGUGAGUAACACGUGGGUAACCUACCUAUAAGACUGGGAUAACUUCGGGAAACCGGAGCUAAUACCGGAUAACAUUUUGAACCGCAUGGUUCUAAAGUGAAAGAUGGUUUUGCUAUCACUUAUAGAUGGACCCGCGCCGUAUUAGCUAGUUGGUAAGGUAACGGCUUACCAAGGCAACGAUACGUAGCCGACCUGAGAGGGUGAUCGGCCACACUGGAACUGAGACACGGUCCAGACUCCUACGGGAGGCAGCAGUAGGGAAUCUUCCGCAAUGGGCGAAAGCCUGACGGAGCAACGCCGCGUGAGUGAUGAAGGGUUUCGGCUCGUAAAACUCUGUUAUUAGGGAAGAACAACCGUGUAAGUAACUGUGCACGUCUUGACGGUACCUAAUCAGAAAGCAACGGCUAACUACGUG